AUCGACCUUGCGGUGGGGAGUGACUUGGGCAGUGAAGGCCAACUGAGCUCAAGAUUGCCGACACCUUACACUAAAAACGAUGCGUUUGUGACUUACUUCGUCAUUGAGCGCAAUUUUUGGAGCC
rnacentral:ncRNA from 1 species